rnacentral:rRNA from 1 species
UAAGCGAAUAGUGAAUCUGGGCGUCAACCUCACAGGCUAUUAUUCGAACUCACUGACUCGAGAACAGCAGAGGUAACUGGAAUUUCUGAGGUAGGGUAAUAUCCGUAGAUAUCAGAAGGAACACCAAUGGCGUAGGCAGGUUACUGGGCUGUUUCUGACACUGAGGCACGAAAGCGUGGGGAGCGAACCGGAUUAGAUACCCGGGUAGUCCACGCCGUAAACGAUGGAUACUA